GUCCACGCUGUAACGAUGGAUACUAGCUGUUCGGAGCAAUCUGAGUGGCUAAGCGAAGUGAUAAGUAUCCCACCUGGGAGUACGAACGCAAGUUGAACUCAAGGAAUUGACGGGGCCCGCACAAGCGGUGGAGCAUGUGGUUAAUUCGAUGAUACGCGAGGAACCUUACCAAGGCUUAAAUGUAGAUUGACCGGUUUGGAAACAGACCUUUCGCAAGACAAUUUACAAGGUGCUGCAUGGUUGUCGU
rnacentral:rRNA from 1 species